AUACGGAGGAUCCGAGCGUUAUCCGGAUUUAUUGGGUUUAAAGGGAGCGUAGGCGGACUAUUAAGUCAGCUGUGAAAGUUUGCGGCUCAACCGUAAAAUUGCAGUUGAUACUGGUCGUCUUGAGUGCAGUAGAGGUAGGCGGAAUUCGUGGUGUAGCGGUUAAAUGCUUAGAUAUCACGAAGAACUCCGAUUGCGAAGGCAGCUUACUGGACUGUAACUGACGCUGAUGCUCGAAAGUGUGGGUAUCAAACAGGAUUAGAUACCCUGGUAGUCCACACAGUAAACGAUGAAUACUCGCUGUUUGCGAUAUACGGCAAGCGGCCAAGCGAAAGCAUUAAGUAUUCCACCUGGGGAGUACGCCGGCAACGGUGAAACUCAAAGGAAUUGGCGGGG
rnacentral:rRNA from 1 species